UACGGGGGGGGCAAGCGUUGUUCGGAAUUACUGGGCGUAAAGGGCUCGUAGGCGGCUAACUAAGUCGGACGUGAAAUCCCCAGGCUCAACCUGGGAACUGCGUCCGAUACUGGAUGGCUUGAAUUCGGGAGAGGGAUGCAGAAUUCCAGGUGUAGCGGUGAAAUGCGUAGAUAUCUGGAGGAAUACCGGUGGCGAAGGCGGCAUCCUGGACCGACAUUGACGCUGAGGAGCGAAAGCUAGGGGAGCAAACGGG
rnacentral:rRNA from 1 species